ensembl:snRNA U6 U6 spliceosomal RNA
GUAUCCAUUGGAAGCACAUAUACUAGAAUUGGAACAAUAAGGAGAAGAUUAGCAUAGUCCCUGUGAAAGAAUAAAAUGCAAAUUCACAAAGCAUUCAUAUUUAAA